rnacentral:rRNA from 1 species
GACGAACGCUGGCGGCGUGCCUAAUACAUGCAAGUAGAACGCUGAAGAGAGGAGCUUGCUCUUCUUGGAUGAGUUGCGAACGGGUGAGUAACGCGUAGGUAACCUGCCUGGUAGCGGGGGAUAACUAUUGGAAACGAUAGCUAAUACCGCAUAAAAUUGAUUAUUGCAUGAUAAUUAAUUGAAAGAUGCAACUGCAUCACUACCAGAUGGACCUGCGUUGUAUUAGCUAGUUGGUGAGGUAACGGCUCACCAAGGCGACGAUACAUAGCCGACCUGAGAGGGUGAUCGGCCACACUGGGACUGAGACACGGCCCAGACUCCUACGGGAGGCAGCAGUAGGGAAUCUUCGGCAAUGGGGGGAACCCUGACCGAGCAACGCCGCGGGAGUGAAGAAGGUUUUCGGAUCGGAAAGCUCUGUUGUAAGAGAAGAACGGGUGUGAGAGUGGAAAGUUCACACUGUGACGGUAUCUUAACAGAAAGGGACGGCUAACUACGUG